rnacentral:piRNA from 1 species
CGCGCGUGUGCGCGGCUGAGCGAGGG